rnacentral:ncRNA from 2 species
UAAAGUCUCCUCCGCGACGGUUCCCCGAUUUCGGGACAAAUGGGAAUCCGGUGCGGCGAUCAAGGAAGUCGGGAUCAGACGGAUUCCCCGCGAAUCCGCAGCGAACUUUCCGCCCAUGCCGGAGCUGCCCCCGCAACUGUAAACGGCGAGUUCGAUGUCCACGCGUGCCACUGGGAGGCAGUUCCACCGGGAAGGCGGGCAUCGGGCCAGGACCCGUGAGCCAGGAAACCUGCCGUCGCCAAUUUUUCAGU